rnacentral:tRNA from 1 species
GAACGAUUAGUCUAAUGAAAGACCGUUAAUUUCGACUUAACAAAUCCUGGUUCUACUCCAUGAUCGUUCU